UACGAAGGGGGCUAGCGUUGUUCGGAUUUACUGGGCGUAAAGCGCGUGUAGGCGGGUCGUUAAGUUGGGGGUGAAAUCCCGGAGCUCAACUCCGGAACUGCCUCCAAAACUGGCGACCUGGAGCAGAGGAGAGGCGAGUGGAAUUCCGAGUGUAGAGGUGAAAUUCGUAGAUAUUCGGAGGAACACCCGUGGCGAAGGUGACUCGCUGGACUCUUGCUGACGUUGAGACGCGAAAGCGUGGGGAGCAAACAGG
rnacentral:rRNA from 1 species